rnacentral:rRNA from 1 species
GAUGAACGCUGACAGAAUGCUUAACACAUGCAAGUCUUUGGCGAAGCUGUGCUUGCACAGCCUAGCCAAGGCGGACGGGUGAGUAACGCGUAAGGAACUUGCCCUGCAGUCAGGGAUAACAGACGGAAACGACUGAUAAGACCUGGUAAAGUCAGGCGGACUCAUGUCCAGCCUGAUGAAAAGAGAUGCUGCAGGAGAGCCUUGCGUCCUAUUAGCUUGUUGGUGGGGUAACGGCCCACCAAGGCGAUGAUAGGUAGCCGGCCUGAGAGGGUGGACGGCCACAAGGGGACUGAGAUACGGCCCUUACUCCUACGGGAGGCAGCAGUGGGGAAUAUUGGACAAUGGGGGCAACCCUGAUCCAGCAAUUCUGUGUGGACGAUGAAGGUUUUCGGAUUGUAAAGUGCUUUCAGCAGGGAAGAAAAAAAUGACGGUACCUGCAGAAGAAGCGACGGCUAAAUACGUG